AGCUAGCGAGUGUGUCGUGUGCUUGGUCAUUGUCGGCCGGCUUCUAGAGUCCGCUUAGCUGCGGGUCCUUGCUUCUUCGGGAGUAGGGAUGUGCGUUGCGCUUGACAAGUGCUGUGCGCUCUGGAGGUUGCCGGGCUGGCUCGCCAGUGCACUUCCUCGGAGUGGUCACCACGACCGGCGUUGUUGUCUUACUGCUGUAGUCGAACCGAUCAGGUUUGGUCCUUGUGGCCGGGCUUGGUCGGGAUGGCAGGUAGCUCAUUGGUUGGCUUGUCCAGUCUUUGGGUGUAAUCAGCUGGCUGCAGCAGUUUUGUGCAAUGCGUCGGAGACGGCGGCUUUAGGUAUGUGCUCGUGUGCCGCUUUCUGGCAGCGUGUGGUUUGGCUGACGUGUUUACCUGCUUCGGUGGGUCCGUUGGUGGCCGCGUGCUGUUCGGAGGGUGGUUGCACUUGUGAUACCGAUGAUGGGCCUACAGUCUGUGGUGUAGCGGCAAACGAUCCACCUGACCCGUCUUGAAACACGGACCAAGGAGUUUAACAUGUGCGCGAGUCAUUGGGCGUUACGAAACCCAGAGGCGCACUGAAAGUGAAGGUUCGGCUUGUCCGGGCUGAGGUGAGAUCCUGUGGCUUCUCGUGCGAGGUACCACCAACCAAGUGAG
rnacentral:rRNA from 1 species